rnacentral:rRNA from 1 species
UACGUAGGGUGCGAGCGUUGUCCGGAAUCACUGGGCGUAAAGGGCGCGUAGGUGGCGACCCAAGUCGAUGGUGAAAGCUCGCCGCUCAACGGCGAGUCGGCCACCGAUACUGGGUUGCUGGAGCACUGUAGAGGCUCAUGGAAUUCCGGGUGUAGCGGUGGAAUGCGUAGAGAUCCGGAAGAACACCGGUGGCGAAGGCGGUGAGCUGGGCAGUUGCUGACACUGGAGACGCGAAAGCGUGGGGAGCAAACAGG